UCCUACGGGAGGCAGCAGUGAGGAAUAUUGGACAAUGGGCGCAAGCCUGAUCCAGCCAUGCCGCGUGCAGGAUGACGGUCCUAUGGAUUGUAAACUGCUUUUGCACAGGAAGAAACACCCCCUCGUGAGGGGGCUUGACGGUACUGUGAGAAUAAGGAUCGGCUAACUCCGUGCCAGCA
rnacentral:rRNA from 1 species